GGAUAUGAGGGAGAUCUGGCUGUGACAUCUGUCACCCCAUUGAUCGCUAGGGUUGAUUUGGCUGAUCUGGCUGACUAGGUGGGUGUCCCCUUCCUCCCUCACCGCCCCAUAUGUGUCCCUCCCGAAGCUGCGCACUUCUUUGAAGAGGAAGACCUUCCAGAUAGAGGAGGACCAUUUGGCCAAGCGUAUACGAGUAGCUGCACUCCCCUGCUAGAACCUCCAAACAAGCUUUCAAGGUCCAUUUGUAGGAGAACAUAGGGUAGUCAAGCUUCCAAAACUCCAGAAACAUCCAAAUGAGGCACUGCACAUGGCAGUCUGCUUUUCUUU
ensembl:misc_RNA 7SK 7SK RNA